UUAUACUCCCACGAAAAGGAAGGGGGCGCCCCUGACCCACUUCGGGUGAUGGAAAAUUUCUGGAAUGCACUAGUUGAUUGUGAGCUUGAUGAUAUGGGUUUUCCCGGGGAACAGAUCACCUGGAGACGGAGACGUAUACGAGAAUGGUUGGAUCAUGUUGUGUGUAAUGCAGAAUUCCAUGGUCUCUUUCCGCAUUCUGCUAUUACAAAUGUGCAUCACCUUAAAUCUGAUCACAGACCCGUUGUGCUAGAUACCGAAGGAGAUGCGGCGGUAUACAUACAACAAAGAGACAGGCAAUGGCAGUUUGAAGCUCGUUGGCUACAAGAGAAUGGAGUAAUGGAUAUAGUAGCGGAAGCAUGGGCACGAACACCAGCCUCAGCAUCUUUGUCCAAGAGAACGGCUGGAGUAUAUAGUGAACUCCACGAAUGGGACCAACUGGUUUUGAAGUCUCCACAGCACAGACUGAAGGACUUAAAGGAGGAGCUGAAGGUUCUACAGUCGUGGCCACUCACUGAAGAGUCGGCAGAUCGACAGAGGCAACUUUUGCUUGAGAUAGAAUAA
rnacentral:rRNA from 1 species